rnacentral:rRNA from 1 species
AUUGAACGCUGGCGGCAGGCUUAACACAUGCAAGUCGAGCGGGGUGAUGGUGCUUGCACUAUCACUUAGCGGCGGACGGGUGAGUAAUGCUUAGGAAUCUGCCUAUUAGUGGGGGACAACAUUUCGGAAGGAAUGCUAAUACCGCAUACGUCCUACGGGAGAAAGCAGGGGAUCUUCGGACCUUGCGCUAAUAGAUGAGCCUAAGUCGGAUUAGCUAGUUGGUGGGGUAAAGGCAUACCAAGGCGACGAUCUGUAGCGGGUCUGAGAGUAUGAUCCGCCACACUGGGACUGAGACACGGCCCAUACUCCUACGGGAGGCAGCAGUGGGGAAUAUUGGACAAUGGGCGGAAGCCUGGUCCAGCCAUGCCGCGUGUGUGAAGAAGGCCUUAUGGUUGUAAAGCACUUUAAGCGAGGAGGAGGCUACUUUAGUUAAUACCUAGAGAUAGUGGACGUUACUCGCAGAAUAAGCACCGGCUAACUCUGUGCCAGCCGCCGCCGUAAGAC